rnacentral:rRNA from 1 species
CCUUGACUCCACCGGAAAAAGAGGAGUGGCGAACGGGUGAGUAACACGUGGGUAACCUGCCCAUCAGAAGGGGAUAACACUUGGAAACAGGUGCUAAUACCGUAUAACAAUCAAAACCGCAUGGUUUUGAUUUGAAAGGCGCUUUCGGGUGUCGCUGAUGGAUGGACCCGCGGUGCAUUAGCUAGUUGGUGAGGUAACGGCUCACCAAGGCCACGAUGCAUAGCCGACCUGAGAGGGUGAUCGGCCACAUUGGGACUGAGACACGGCCCAAACUCCUACGGGAGGCAGCAGUAGGGAAUCUUCGGCAAUGGACGAAAGUCUGACCGAGCAACGCCGCGUGAGUGAAGAAGGUUUUCGGAUCGUAAAACUCUGUUGUUAGAGAAGAACAAGGAUGAGAGUAACUGUUCAUCCCUUGACGGUAUCUAACCAGAAAGCCACGGCUAACUACGUGCCAGCAGCCGCGGUAAUACGUAGGUGGCAAGCGUUGUCCGGAUUUAUUGGGCGUAAAGCGAGCGCAGGCGGUUUCUUAAGUCUGAUGUGAAAGCCCCCGGCUCAACCGGGGAGGGUCAUUGGAAACUGGGAGACUUGAGUGCAGAAGAGGAGAGUGGAAUUCCAUGUGUAGCGGUGAAAUGCGUAGAUAUAUGGAGGAACACCAGUGGCGAAGGCGGCUCUCUGGUCUGUAACUGACGCUGAGGCUCGAAAGCGUGGGGAGCAAACAGGAUUAGAUACCCUGGUAGUCCACGCCGUAAACGAUGAGUGCUAAGUGUUGGAGGGUUUCCGCCCUUCAGUGCUGCAGCUAACGCAUUAAGCACUCCGCCUGGGGAGUACGACCGCAAGGUUGAAACUCAAAGGAAUUGACGGGGGCCCGCACAAGCGGUGGAGCAUGUGGUUUAAUUCGAAGCAACGCGAAGAACCUUACCAGGUCUUGACAUCCUUUGACCACUCUAGAGAUAGAGCUUCCCCUUCGGGGGCAAAGUGACAGGUGGUGCAUGGAUGUCGU